AUUAAGAUGGCAGAUCAGUGCGCAGGGUUUAAGUUCCUGUUAGAGAAUGAUAUUACAUUCUUCUUAAUA
rnacentral:tRNA from 1 species